rnacentral:lncRNA from 1 species
CCUCUUAGCAAGUAAGCUUGCCUGCAGCUGCUAAGACAGCAGUGCCCAUAAAAGUAAAAACAAGCAUCACCAUGUCAUCCAGAAUGGCUUUCUUCAAUUCCUGAAUUGAACCAUGUCCAGUAGUUGAGUUCCUCUGCGUCGACCAGCUUGAUGUGGUUGCAGGGCAGAGGUGCCCCUACAUGCCCUAGGACACCAGAACAAGGUGAUGCUAGUUCAGUGGUUCGGUACCAUGGUGCUUGACAUCCCUGGGGGAAUCCCCAAGCAUCCUGGUAGAGUGGAGCAUGCCUACGAUCGCAGAAGUUGAGAGGUAGAGGAAACAGUAUCAGGAGCUCAAGGUCAUUCUAGGCUGUGUAGUGAGUGGUUGGAGGCUAGCCUGGACCACCUGAGGCCUUACUGCUAACAAAACAAAACAGAGACAAAACAAAAAUGGAAACAAACCCCCAGGUGGGUUAAAGCAGGGAGCUGUGGGACCAGAGUAACACACCUUUACGCAGGUGCUGGUGACAGGGACAAACUGAGGGCAAAACUAAACUCCGGGGAAUGCAGAGUGUGAGCUCCACUUUAAUAUAUCUAUUCACACAUAGGGUUCUCUGUGUAGCCCAGGUUGUCUUGAAAUUCACUACAGCACUCAGGCUGACCCCAAACUUGUGGUUCUCUGUGUCAUCCUUACCAGUCUUGCAAUUAUGGGAAGGCAUUAUCAUGUGAGAUU